rnacentral:ncRNA from 1 species
ACACGAUAAUGGCAAAACACAUGAAAAUGUGUGACGCAAAGCAAUAGGGUCUAAACGCUAAUACGCGCAUGGCAGCCUGACACCGAA